rnacentral:rRNA from 1 species
CCUACGGGAGGCAGCAGUAGGGAAUAUUGGACAAUGGACGCAAGUCUGAUCCAGCCAUCCCGCGUGAAGGAUUAAGGCCCUAUGGGUUGUAAACUUCUUUUCUUUGGGAAUAAAAAGCGGUAUUCAUAUCGCCUUGAAGGUACCAGAGGAAUAAGCACCGGCUAACUCCGUGCCAGCAGCCGCGGUAAUACGGAGGGUGCAAGCGUUAUCCGGAUUCACUGGGUUUAAAGGGUGCGUAGGUGGCUUUGUAAGUCAGCGGUGAAAGCCUGGAGCUCAACUCCAGAAUUGCCAUUGAUACUGCAGAGCUUGAAUCAAGUUGAGGUGGAUGGAAUAUUACAUGUAGCGGUGAAAUGCUUAGAUAUGUAAUAGAACACCGAUUGCGAAGGCAGUUCACUAAGCUUGUAUUGACACUGAGGCACGAAAGCGUGGGGAUCAAACAGGAUUAGAUACCCUGGUAGUCCACGCCCUAAACGAUGCAAACUCGACAUUAGCGAUAUACAGUUAGUGUCCAAGCGAAAGCGUUAAGUUUGCCACCUGGGAAGUACGACCGCAAGGUUGAAACUCAAAGGAAUUGACGG